rnacentral:rRNA from 1 species
UGGGGAUAUUGGUCAAUGGAGGAAACUCUGAACCAGCGACGCCGCGUGAGGGAAGAAGGUCUUCGGAUUGUAAACCUUUGUUGACAGGGACGAUACAAGACGGUACCUGUCGAGGAAGCCACGGCUAACUACGUGCCAGCAGCCGCGGUAAUACGUAGGUGGCAAGCGUUAUCCGGAUUUACUGGGUGUAAAGGGAGCGUAGACGGCAAAGCAAGUCUGAAGUGAAAGCCCCGGGCUCAACCCGGGAACUGCUUUGGAAACUGUUUAGCUAGAGUGACAGGAGAGGUAAGUGGAAUUCCUAGUGUAGCGGUGAAAUGCGUAGAUAUUAGGAGGAACACCAGUGGCGAAGGCGGCUUACUGGACUGUAACUGACGUUGAGGCUCGAAAGC